AAUAACUCUAUUUUUCGUUUUUUCGUGUCGAACGUUUGACCAUUCAUCUUAUUGAAAUUUUCUUGCGAUUAAUAUUUUUAUUGUUACUAGAUGAUAAAAUAUGAGUAGUACUUUAUACGUGACUAUUUUUUAAACGUUUUUUACAAAUAUUUCAAAUAAGACGAAUGGUCAAACGUUGGACACGGAAAAAC
rfam:Oryza brachyantha chromosome 8, whole genome shotgun sequence.